AUUGCUUGGCUGGAGAAAGGCCCUUCCCCCUUCUCCUAGCUAAUACUGCCCACUCACCCUUCAGGUCUCCGAGAAGCAUGACUUCCUCACGGAUGCUUUCCUUGACUCCUGAACUAGGAUAGGCCCUACGCUCUCCCUGGGGCUCUGCCCCUCUCUUUCCAGGACUUGGAAGUUAUUAGUAAUUGUCGUUAAUACUGACACAGUUGUGCUCCUCUGCACCUGGAGAAUCCGUCACUACGCAAAGCACUUUUAUCCCAGGAGCACAUGGUCACAAGGUCUUGGACACUCAUCAGUAAAGACACCAAACAACACCCAGAGAUACCAGAUGAAUAGUUUCUCUGGAAACAAAGCUCCUCUGAAGAGAAUUACGUGGACUCGGAGACAGCCAGAGAAUCUUCUGUUCUCCCCGUUCUGAGCUGGCAGAGCUGGCUGAGAAGGAGGCCAUGGUGGGGCCAGGUCAAGUAUAUUCUUCUCAGGGCCACGCAGGCCCCUGUGAUGGUGGCUUGCCUGUACUCC
rnacentral:lncRNA from 1 species